rnacentral:rRNA from 1 species
GUACACUCCUGCGGGAGGCAGCAGUGGGGAAUAUUGCACAAUGGGCGCAAGCCUGAUGCAGCCAUGCCGCGUGUAUGAAGAAGGCCUUCGGGUUGUAAAGUACUUUCAGCGGGGAGGAAGGCGAUAAGGUUAAUAACCUUGUCGAUUGACGUUACCCGCAGAAGAAGCACCGGCUAACUCCGUGCCAGCAGCCGCGGUAAUACGGAGGGUGCAAGCGUUAAUCGGAAUUACUGGGCGUAAAGCGCACGCAGGCGGUCUGUCAAGUCGGAUGUGAAAUCCCCGGGCUCAACCUGGGAACUGCAUUCGAAACUGGCAGGCUAGAGUCUUGUAGAGGGGGGUAGAAUUCCAGGUGUAGCGGUGAAAUGCGUAGAGAUCUGGAGGAAUACCGGUGGCGAAGGCGGCCCCCUGGACAAAGACUGACGCUCAGGUGCGAAAGCGUGGGGAGCAAACAGGAUUAGAAACCCCGGUAGUCC